GGUUUAUUUAUAAGUUACUACAUAGACACUUUGGAACAGUUCCUGAAAAGAAACAGGCUGCUAUUUAUUUAUUUCCUCUACAAACCUAUCCUGACUCUUUGCUAUGUAUGAAGUAAAAUAAUCACUUAACAUCUCAAUGGCUAUCUUGGGGGUGAAAUGAAAACAAAAACUGUCCAUUUUAAGCAAUGAGACUCAAAGACAAAUAGAUUAUAAACUACUCACCUUUUAACAUUCUAAAGAGUUGAACACAUGGUUACAUACAUGUGUAUGUGUGCAUACAUCCUUCCACCAACAAAUUAUCAGCAACUAAUUUAAGUAUUCCCUUAAAGAAACUUGGGCAGCCUAUAAAGCACUGCUUCAAU
rnacentral:lncRNA from 1 species